rnacentral:rRNA from 1 species
CCUACGGGAGGCAGCAGUGAGGAAUAUUGGUCAAUGGUCGGGAGACUGAACCAGCCAAGCCGCGUGAGGGAGGAAGGUACAGAGUAUCGUAAACCUCUUUUGUCAGGGAACAAAGGCGGGGACGUGUCCCCGGAUGAGUGUACCUGAAGAAAAAGCAUCGGCUCACUCCGUGCCAGCAGCCGCGGUAAUUCGGAGGAUGCGAGCGUUAUCCGGAUUUUUUGGGUUUAAAGGGUGCGCAGGCGGUCUGUUAAGUCAGCGGUCAAAGCCCGGGGCUCAACCCCGGCCCGACGUUGAAACUGGGAGUCUCGAGUGGGAGAGAGGUAGGCGGAAUGCGCGGUGUAGCGGUGAAAUGCAUAGAUAUCGCGCAGAACACCGAUUGCGAAGGCAGCAUGCCGGAUCCACACUGACGCUGAGGCACGAAAGCGUGGGUAGCGAACAGGAUUAGAUACCCUGGUAGUC